ACACGACUACAUUAGAUACCCGCGUAGUCCCAGCCGUAAACUAUGCGCGUUAGGUGUAUCGGUGACCACGAGUUACCGAGGUGCCGAAGGGAAACCGUGAAACGUGCCGCCUGGGAAGUACGGUCGCAAGGCUGAAACUUAAAGGAAUUGGCGGGGGAGCACCACAACAGGUGGAGCCUGCGGUUUAAUUGGACUCAACGCCGGGAAGCUCACCGGAUAGGACAGCAGAAUGAUUGCCGGGCUGAAGACCCUGCAUGACUAGCUG
rnacentral:rRNA from 1 species